AAGUUGGACAAGACAGCACUUCAGAUCUGAAGGAACCAACAAUGGACACCAGGCCUUUAUUAUGUCAAAAGAAAAGAGAAGCUCUUUUUUUUAGCUUGGUUCACAGCUCAUCAGGAUGCUCAUUCCCAGAACCCCUGAGCUUAGACUUGGUGGAAAGUAGGGUCUCAGGUUUCAUCAGUGACAGCCUGGUAUCACCCAAAGUUCUGGAGACAAGUUUGGUCACUGUGAGAAGAUCUUCCUACACCUGCAAGUAGCAGGGAGAAGGCUGUGACACCAGCUUUAGAAAAGGUCUGGCUUUAUCUUAGUCUGUGUAACAAGUGUAAAUGCUGAUGCUAUUGCUGGUGCUUUCCAUGCACCAUGGUGCACGGUGAAACAUGUGUCUUCCUACUGGUGAUUAUUGUGCAUAAUUGAAUGGACAGAAUCAUCUAACUGUACCCAGAUAAUUGACCAGGAAACUGGAACCCUGGUAUCAGGAGCCUAAUGAGGAAUUCAUAAUAUAUAAAACAAUAUUUUUUAUUUUUUUUUUGAGGGAGUAGAAAGAAUGACAGACUAACAAAAGGGCAGUAAAGGGAAAGGAAGGAAAGGGUGAAAACUUUGAAUGGUCAGAGAGGACGCUAUUAUGAUGUGAACCAAUUUCUAGCAUUCAAGGCAUACAGUGAACUAUUUUAAUUUUUCAACAACAAUGCAAGUCAUGUAGGCACUCAUAAAAACUUAAAAGCUCUUUUUAAAAUAAUAGCAUGCAUUUUACAUGUACUAUAUGUACUUACUCUCUCAGAGUGCAAGUUAUUUAUCAUUCUUGUCUAAGCUAAUAGUCCAUCUCUGUCUGGAUUGCGAAGUUUAAUUAACUUCUGUAGGUGUUACAAGGAAAAUUAUGCCUAACUGAGUCUAAAAUCCACAUUCUUGAAUGAAGGGCAUUUUUAAAUGAAGAUGACUGAUACACUUUUUGAAUAACAACUUCAUGUUUUUCUGCUUCAUACAGAGCAAUAACAUUCCAACUUUACAGCCUGUAGAAUCCAGACAAAUAACACACCUUUCUCAUCAAGAUGCUCUCAUGAGGACUAUAGCUAACUCUAAUAACUGUAACUUUUGCUCUGCUACUUAAGGCUGAUGAGUUUGAGAUACUGGUCACAGAAGAGAUGGCAAAAAUUUAGUAGCCUAGUGGGCAUUGCACGUGAUGGGGAAUUACAAGAGAUUAGAGAGUAUUUUUGGGUCUUCAUGUUGCUAUCACCACUAAUGCACAAUUUGUACAGAGUUUGAACUGAGUGAUGAAGCACAAGAAGGGGUAAAUCUCCAAAGCAAAAAGACAAAGAUGCUAUAAUCUCUUAGUAAUGGUACUGUCCCACACCAUCAAGCUUAUUUUGGUAUCUUACUUAAUGCAUGGCAUCAGGAAGCUUAUCACAGUUAAAAAUACCAGGAAAAGCAUAGUUCAUCCUUCUGCUCUGAAUUGAGCUGCAUGACCAAAAUUCAGGCAGAGCCACAUAUGCUUAAAGGACUCUUAGAUACAGCCAGAAAUGUGGGCCAUGACAAAAAAGAUGAGCCCUUCUCCUCUGGUGAAGUCCAAUACCAUAGUAGGGGACCUUGUUGGAAGAGAAAUAUGAAUUGUGAGGGCUUACACUAAGCUGGAGUGUUUUUAAUAGCAUAUCACCAGUCAGUGUGCAUUUUUCACUUAUCAAAAUGACAUUGUUUUUUUAUCUAUCUGUGUGUUCAUGCUAAGACAUUAAAUGCAAGACAGCAGGAUUUGGCACUUUCUCUGCAUUGGCAGUGGUUGCAAUACACCUAUUGUCCUUUUGCUGCAGGUGCAGUCACCUUACAUCUCAGAAAAUCUGCCUUCCUAUUCUAAUAUGAAAUAAAACAUGACUUCUCAAAUACA
ensembl:lncRNA